rnacentral:sRNA from 1 species
UAAACAAAACCAGCAUCCCUAGUUUGAUUAAUUCAACUAAGUAUCCAGUCGCUGCUCCGCCAUAUCCUGGCUGGAAAAAUAAUUGGAAAAAUAAGAAAUCGAAGACGGAGUGUAUAGAUGGUGCAUCAUUAGACCGGCACUUCGAAUAUAUACAAGAGAAUAUUCCAGCAAUUCCGGAUAUCAAUUUGAAUCCACUAAUGGAAUCAGAGGCCCUCAGCGACAGUCUCGAGCAAAUAGUAGACUUGGACAUCGAUAUGACACCAAGAGUCGCUUCGAAGGUAAAUCCAUACACGGUCCUAGCAGCAAGCGAAUCCAGCACCGAGCUGAUUGCCGUGCUCGCAGUCUGGGACCAGUGUUGAACUGCAUGAAACCCAUAUACAUAUGUUCGUGGGAAAUCCUGUUGUAUUAUUUAUACUUUUCAAGAAUUCGUAUUGAAUCCAGAAGGGAAUAGAGCUGAACUUAAAAUUUCAUAUGUACGUUUAAAAAAGUUUUUUUUGUAUGAAAAAUUCAU